rnacentral:rRNA from 1 species
GAAGAGGGAAACAACCCAGACCGCCAGCUAAGGUCCCAAAGUCAUGGUUAAGUGGGAAACGAUGUGGGAAGGCCCAGACAGCCAGGAUGUUGGCUUAGAAGCAGCCAUCAUUUAAAGAAAGCGUAAUAGCUCACUGGUCGAGUCGGCCUGCGCGGAAGAUGUAACGGGGCUAAACCAUGCACCGAAGCUGCGGCAGCGACGCUGAUGCGUUGUUGGGUAGGGGAGCGUUCUGUAAGCCUGCGAAGGUGUGCUGUGAGGCAUGCUGGAGGUAUCAGAAGUGCGAAUGCUGACAUAAGUAACGAUAAAGCGGGUGAAAAGCCCGCUCGCCGGAAGACCAAGGGUUCCUGUCCAACGUUAAUCGGGGCAGGGUGAGUCGACCCCUAAGGCGAGGCCGAAAGGCGUAGUCGAUGGGAAACAGGUUAAUAUUCCUGUACUUGGUGUUACUGCGAAGGGGGGACGGAGAAGGCUAUGUUGGCCGGGCGACGGUUGUCCCGGUUUAAGCGUGUAGGCUGGUUUUCCAGGCAAAUCCGGAAAAUCAAGGCUGAGGCGUGAUGACGAGGCACUGCGGUGCUGAAGCAACAAAUGCCCUGCUUCCAGGAAAAGCCUCUAAGCAUCAGGUAACAUCAAAUCGUACCCCAAACCGACACAGGUGGUCAGGUAGAGAAUACCAAGGCGCUUGAGAGAACUCGGGUGAAGGAACUAGGCAAAAUGGUGCCGUAACUUCGGGAGAAGGCACGCUGAUAUGUAGGUGAAGUCCCUCGCGGAUGGAGCUGAAAUCAGUCGAAGAUACCAGCUGGCUGCAACUGUUUAUUAAAAACACAGCACUGUGCAAACACGAAAGUGGACGUAUACGGUGUGACGCCUGCCCGGUGCCGGAAGGUUAAUUGAUGGGGUUAGCGCAAGCGAAGCUCUUGAUCGAAGCCCCGGUAAACGGCGG